GAUGAAGAACGUAGCGAAAUGCGAUAAGUAAUGUGAAUUGCAGAAUUCAGUGAAUCAUCGAAUCUUUGAACGCACCUUGCACCCUUUGGUAUUCCGAAGGGUAUGCUCGUUUGAGUGUCAUUGUACUCUCACACUUCUAAUUCCUUUCGGGAUUGGGAGCGGUGGACUUGGGUGUUGCUGCUUUAGUUGUGGCUCACCUCAAAUAAGUUAGUGCAACUCUUGGUUGGACAUAGUACGGCGUGAUAAGUGUCUUCGCCGGCGCCUCUGUAAGGAGGGUGGCCGAUCGGGAGCUCUGUGCUUCAAACCGUCUUCGGACAAUCUUUGACAACUUGACCUCAAAUCGAGUAGGACUACCCGCUGAACUUCAGCAUAUCAAUAAGCGGAGGA
rnacentral:misc_RNA from 1 species